rnacentral:rRNA from 1 species
AUUGAACGCUGGCGGCAGGCCUAACACAUGCAAGUCGAGCGGAGCGGCGGACGGGUGAGUAAUGCCUGGGAAUCUGCCUGGUAGUGGGGGGUAACGUCCGGAAACGGGCGCUAAUACCGCAUACUAUCAGAUGAGCCUAGGUCGGAUUUGCUAGUUGGUGGGGUAAAGGCCUACAAAGGCGACGAUCCGUAACUGGUCUGAGAGGAUGAUCAGUAACACUGGAACUGAGACACGGUCCAGACUCCUACGGGAGGAAGAAGUGGGAAAUAUUGGACAAUGGGCGAAAGCCUGAUCCAGCCAUGCCGCUGGUGUGAAGAAGGUCUUCGGAUUGUAAAGUACUUUAAGUUGGGAGGCGUUACCAACAGAAUAAGCACCGGCUAACUUCGUGCCAGCCGCCGCGGUAAUUC